AUUUUAGUUAGGCAGAGUCUACGUGGUUGUCCACGUGACAAUUUAGUACUUUCGUUCCUUUCUCCUGUCUCUCUCCAUCUCUUUCUCUAUCUCUAUCUAACAUCUCACUAACCACCACACAAAUCCGGCCAGACGAUUCGGGUGAAGUGACGAAGGCGGCGAACAUAAGCUUCAUCUUCGGCACCGAUCGGUCCUGUAAAAAUUGUUUGUUGACUUCGCCGUGACGAAAAGGGUGUCGUGUUGGCUUCUUCAUCCUUAGAAUUUUUUUUUUUUUUUUUUUUCUUUCAGGUCGGUGUUGUUGCUGUGGUCUGUAGUGAUGAGUUGAGACUGUGUUCGUAGCGAGUCGCCGGUUUAGUUGUAAUUGAUGCUUGCAAGUCUCGUUUUCCCCAAGAGCAGAGGAGACAAAUUAGGCGAGGUUAGUAAACGCAAGUUUAUCGGUGACUCCAUCCAUGACCAAAUCGGGAAACAACAUGAUCGGCGGCAAGCAAGUCUGAAAGAAAGACAAGGAAUGGGGGAAGCGCUUACGAUGAAGUUGAAAGCAACGACCGAAGCAAUAGAGACGUAGAACAUAGAAGGACUUGGGGGCUAUCAAUCAAAGUAGCUAAAGGAUGCCGGAUCGGGAAGCGACAUGAUCGGCGGCGAGCAAGUCUGAAGGGGUUCAGAGCACUAAUUUCACCCUCUUGUAUUGUUGGGGUGGUUCUGCUUCACCCUCUUUUGAGCCUCUUUGCACUCGGUCCCCGAUCACUGUCGGAAAAGAGAAUCGACGAUCGCUGCCUUGUCAGUGUACCAUUGUCACCGGAAUAGAAUCUCGUCGCCGAGUUGUGAGUUGGAUUUGCUGUUGCGGCCGCGAUUUGUCUGUGCUAGCUUCGCCUUGUUGUGAUAGCUAGCUUCGUUGUCGCCGUUGUUGUCGUGGCCUCCCAGUUGGUGAGCCGCGUUUUGUUGUCUGAGAUAUGAGAAUGCGAAGACGAAGAGUGUGUUUGGUUACAGGGUUUGUUCGUCUAUCGCCAGCGUGGACUGCCACUUAGGAUUCUGCCUAUGAUUCUGCAUCGGCCUGAGUAUCAUGACCCAUAUAUAUAUAUAUAUAUAUUGGGUAAUUAAUUAAUUAAGCUUCUCUCUAUGGGUUCAAUUGAUUAUUGCUGCUCGUGAUCGUACCAUUUGUUCUGUUCAUCAAGCGCUCCAAUGCUUUCUAGAGACGAGCAUUGGUGAUUGGAAAAUUUAUUUGAGAAAAGAUUCUUUUAUUCUCCCCCUUGUGGUAUCUUUAAUUUUAUCUCAGGAUUAUGAAAUUGUUGAAAUGGUGAUUUGGUUAUUGACUUAUUGCUGUUGGUAGAAAUGGAUUUUAAUGUUUACUGCGAUUUUCCACCUCUGGUAUUUUUUGAGUGUUAUACUUCCGUAUAAUUUUAGUUGUUGGUCAGUUGUGGUUUUGGCCUUUCAUUGUAUGGUGUCUCUCUUUCUCUUACUUAAUGUCGUAAUUUGUUUCAGUGAGCAAGCCCCAUCUAAGUCAAGAAACAAUAGUGGAAAACCAUCCAUGGACGUGGCUUAGUCAAGAUUGUGGCAUAAAGAUAUAAUGGGAGUGCCUACAUAGCAACAGAAUUGAUGAUCUGGUGCUGUUGCUAUGCCUAAAGAUUUUUUCGGUGCACGAGAUAGAAGAGAAGGAAGAGUCCAUCAGGAUCAGAUAGAGGCAAAUUUUCCAGGAUCAGAUUAAAAGGUCUUGAUAAAAAGGGCAAAAACCCAGUGCACGAAGCUCCUGCCCUUGUCAGAUGAACGCAACCUUAACUCCGCAUGUGGAGAGGUUGUUUUCUUGUUUUGAACCCGCAAUGGCGGUAAAAGGUUAUUAAGGAGCUUAUAGAGAUUAGCAGGAGGAAUUCUUGGGCAGAACUUGUUCACAACAAACUUAUUUGCAUGCUAACAAAUAUGUUUUUAUCAAAUUCCUGAUGAGGCUCUUUCAAGUGCCCCAAUUUUUCUUGCUGAGCGCAGGUUGAUUUGAUUGGAGGAAUCGAUAUUAUUUUCAUCGAGUUAGUGCUCUCAAACUCGAGGGAGGGGAGGAGAAACCUAUAUCUGGUGCUUUUUGACUAUUUCAUGCAAUGAGGAGAGGUGCAUAGCUGCGGGUGUCUGAAUAUAGUGAUGGUGAGAUUCAAUCCAUUACCAAGUAAACGAGAGGUGCAUAGCUGCAGGUGUCUCUGAAUAUAGUGAUGAUGAGAUUCAAUCCAUUACCACCUUGCUGACUCUUGCCGAUGCACCUGAAGCUGUUUAUGUUUCUGUUAAGCUUGGUGUGGAAGGAAUUGGGGAGAUUUUGAGAAGAUCAAUUCCUAAUCAAUUGUCUAAAUAUCCUAACAGGGAUCGACUUAAAUGUGGUAAUUCUUUAAUUAAUGUUCUUCAUGUGCUCGUUGCCUUGUUGGUGUAUGCUAUAAUUCUUGUAGCUUGGGUUGAAAGAUUUUGGGAGACUUUUGAGAGAAUAAAUUCUGCUGCGUUGAGUAUGUAAUCAAAUAUUGUAUCGCCUUUUAUGUGAAUGUGACUUUGUGAGCACAAGAACUCGUUUUUUGUA